rnacentral:rRNA from 1 species
UAGCCUUGACAUUGAUUGAAUUCACCAGAGAUGGAGAAGUGCCCUUCGGGGAACAUGAAAACAGGUGCUGCACGGCUGUCGUCAGCUCGUGUCGUGAGAUGUUGGGUUAAGUCCCGCAACGAGCGCAACCCUCGUCCUUAGUUGCCAGCAGGUUAAGCUGGGCACUCUAAGGAGACUGCCUUCGUAAGGAGGAGGAAGGUGAGGACGACGUCAAGUCAUCAUGGCCCUUAUGGCUAGGGCUACACACGUGCUACAAUGGGGCGUACAGAGAGUUGCGAUACCGCGAGGUGGAGCCAAUCUCAUAAAGCGUCUCUCAGUUCGGAUUGGAGUCUGCAACUCGACUCCAUGAAGC